GAUGAAGAACGCAGCGAAAUGCGAUAAGUAAUGCGAAUUGCAGAAUUCAGUGAGUCAUCGAAUCUUUGAACGCACAUUGCGCCCUGUGGUAUUCCGCAGGGCAUGCCUGUUCGAGCGUCAUUGCUGCCCUCAAGCACGGCUUGUGUGUUGGGCCUCCGUCCUCCUCCCGGGGGACGGGCCCGAAAGGCAGCGGCGGCACCGCGUCCGGUCCUCGAGCGUAUGGGGCUUCGUCACCCGCUCUUGUAGGCCCGGCCGGCGCUUGCCGACACAUCAAUCUUUUUUCCAGGUUGACCUCGGAUCAGGUAGGGAUACCCGCUGAACUUAAGCAUAUCAAUAAGCGGAGGA
rnacentral:misc_RNA from 1 species